UACGGAGGGGGCUAGCGUUGUUCGGAAUUACUGGGCGUAAGGCGCACGUAGGCGGCUUUGUAAGUUAGAGGUGAAAGCCCGGGGCUCAACUCCGGAAUUGCCUUUAAGACUGCAUCGCUAGAAUUGUGGAGAGGUAAGUGGAAUUCCGAGUGUAGAGGUGAAAUUCGUAGAUAUUCGGAAGAACACCAGUGGCGAAGGCGACUUACUGGACACAUAUUGACGCUGAGGUGCGAAAGCGUGGGGAGCGAUCCGG
rnacentral:rRNA from 1 species